rnacentral:rRNA from 1 species
CCUACGGGAGGCAGCAGUGGGGAAUCUUGCGCAAUGGGCGAAAGCCUGACGCAGCGACGCCGCGUGCGGGAUGAAGGCCCUCGGGUUGUAAACCGCUUUCGGCAGGGACGAAGCGAAAGUGACGGUACCUGCAGAAGAAGCCCCGGCUAACUACGUGCCAGCAGCCGCGGUAAU